UACGUAGGGGGCUAGCGUUGUCCGGAAUCAUUGGGCGUAAAGCGCGUGUAGGCGGUCCGGUAAGUCCGCUGUGAAAGUCGGGGGCUCAACCCUCGGAUGCCGGUGGAUACUGUCGGGCUUGAGUACGGAAGAGGCGAGUGGAAUUCCUGGUGUAGCGGUGAAAUGCGCAGAUAUCAGGAGGAACACCAGUGGCGAAGGCGGCACUCUGGGCCGGUACUGACGCUGAGGAGCGAAAGCGUGGGGAGCGAACAGG
rnacentral:rRNA from 1 species